rnacentral:rRNA from 1 species
GACAGAGGGUGCAAACGUUGUUCGGAUUUACUGGGCGUAAAGCGCGUGUAGGCGGCUUUGCAAGUCGGAUGUGAAAGCCCACGGCUCAACCGUGGAAGUGCAUCCGAAACUGCAUGGCUGGAGUCUCGGAGAGGAAGGUGGAAUGCUUGGUGUAGAGGUGAAAUUCGUAGAUAUCAGGAGGAACACCGAUGGCGAAGGCAGGUCUCUGGGCCAUAACUGACGCUGAGAAGCGAAAGCAUGGGGAGCGAACAGG